CGUAGGUGACGAGCGUUAUCCGGAUUUACUGGGCGUAAAGCGUGUGCAGGUUGGUUCACAAGUGGUGUAUGAAAGCUGUCGGCUUAACCGGGAGAGGGUAUGCCAGACUGUGAGCCUAGAGGCAGCCAGAGGGACAUGGAAUUCCGGGUGUAGUGGUGAAAUGCGUAGAGAUCCGGAGGAACCCCAGAGGCGAAGGCGGUGUCCUGGGGCUGACCUGACACUCAGACACGAAAGCAUGGGGAGCGAACGGGAUUAGAAACCCCGGUAGUCCAUGCCGUAAACGAUGCGGACUAGGCGUCGGGGGACUCAACCCCCUCGGUGCCGGAGCUAACGCGGUAAGUCCGCCGCCUGGGGAGUACGGCCGCAAGGCUA
rnacentral:rRNA from 1 species